UGGGGCCUAUUGUUGGGUACAGGGUUAUGUUACCUUAGCUGUGCAUCUGGAAUCAGGAAAUCACUGCUUCCACUGCUGGCUCAGAAACAUACCACCCAGGCUGAAGUCUAGGGAUCAGGAAACUGGCUCCAACAUGAUGGACUCUGGAGCCAUGAUUUGCCUGCUAAAGCUGUGCCAGCAAGAUAAGUAUCUCCCUUCCCACUUACACUAGCUUGAAUUGGGGUCUUGCUCAAGUGCGUCUUCAGUGAAAGUUACAUCGAGUGUGCCUGCCUCUCCUGCCUCUCCUUCCACCUCCUCUAACUCUCCUGCUUCUACCACCCCUGAGACAGCAAGACCAACCUCUCGUCAGCCUAUUCAAUGUGAAGAAAAUAAGGAGGAAGACCUUAUGAGGACCUACGUCCAAUCAAUAAAUAACUUGCGGGAGGUUCUGGAGUCCCAUGGUUAUUAAUCUCUGGAGGCUUCACCAUCCUUUGUGGGUUCCUUUAAUUAUCUCCAUUGCCUCAAAAGCUGUUGGGUUCUCAGGAAGCAGAUGAUGAGAUGGAGCUUGUGGUGCAAGAUAUUUACUCGGGUAAAAGGAAAAGAGAGGAAGAAAGAAGGAGC
rnacentral:lncRNA from 1 species